rnacentral:siRNA from 1 species
GCAGAUCCUUGGGUGUUUUAUGA